rnacentral:rRNA from 1 species
GACGAACGCUGGCGGCGUGCUUAACACAUGCAAGUCGAACGAUGAAGUUCCUUCGGGAAUGGAUUAGUGGCGAACGGGUGAGGAACACGUGAGAAACCUGCCUUUCAUUUUGGGAUAACUCCGGGAAACCGGGGCUAAAACCGAAUACUCCGUCUCGGCGGCAUCGCUGAGCCGGGAAAAAAUUUUGAUGAAAGGUGGUCUCGCGGCCUAACAGCUAGUUGGUGAGGUAAUGGCUCACCAAGGCAACGAAGGGUAGCCGGCCUGAGCGGGCGACCGGCCAAACUGGGAGUGAGGCACGGCCCAGACUCCUACGGGAGGAAGCAGUGGGGAAGAUUGGGCAAUGGGCGCAAGCCUGACCCAGCGACGCCGCGUGAGGGAUGAAGGCCUUCGGGUUGUAAACCUCUUUCAGUAGGGAAGAAGCGAAAGUGACGGUACCUAAAGAAGAAGCACCGGCUAACUAUGUGCCAGCCGCCGCCGUAA